rnacentral:rRNA from 1 species
UACGUAGGGUGCAAGCGUUAAUCGGAAUUACUGGGCGUAAAGCGUGCGCAGGCGGCUUUGCAAGACAGAUGUGAAAUCCCCGGGCUUAACCUGGGAACUGCAUUUGUGACUGCAUGGCUGGAGUGCGGCAGAGGGGGAUGGAAUUCCUGGUGUAGCGGUGAAAUGCGUAGAUAUCAGGAGGAACACCUGUGGUGUAGACAGCUUACUGGACCACAACUGACGCUGAGGCACGAAAGCGUGGGUAGCAAACAGG